UAUUGUUGCAUGAGCUCGAGAAGCCAAUUUACCAAGUGAAUUACUUAUAUAAAGCACACUAAGUUAUAUACUAAGAUGAAACAAAACACACUAAAAAUGUCUCUUCCAUUUACGAUUCUCCUACCAUUGAUCUUCUCAAUAUUGUCACAUUGUUUCGUAGACCUCGCACACUCCAAAGUCGCUCGACUUGGUAUUUCCCCAACAACGAGACCGACAGAAACAGUAGAUGCCUCUUCUGAUAAUUCUGAUCUCAAAUUCUUCUACUACGAUCAGAAUCUCGACCAUUUUACUUUCACCCCCGAAAGUUACCAGACGUUUCAACAAAGAUACAUCAUCAAUGCCAAGCACUGGGCUGGUUCCAAAGCCGACGCACCAAUAUUAGCUUUUCUUGGAGGGGAAGCGUCAAUAGAGGCUGAUUUGUACGAUGUCGAUUUUUUCCAAGAGAAUGGUCCACGUUUAAAAGCCCUUCUCGUCUACAUAGAGCAUAGGUAUUAUGGGAAGUCUAUGCCGCUUGGAUCGGCUGAAGAAGCACUAAAGAAUGCCAGUACGUUGGGGUAUUUGAACGCAGCACAAGCUCUGGCAGACUAUGCGGCGAUUCUCGUGCACGUUAAGGAGAAAUAUUCUGCGAAACAUAGCCCAAUUAUCGUCGUCGGGGCAUCCUACGGUGGAAUGUUAGCGGCGUGGUUCAGGCUAAAAUAUCCACACAUAGCACUUGGGGCAUUAGCAUCUUCAGCUCCUCUUCUCUACUUCGAAGAUACUCGUCCUAAAUUUGGUUAUUAUCAUAUCAUAACCAAAGUUUUCAAGGAAACGAGUGAGAGAUGUUAUAAAACAAUCCGUAAAUCUUGGGAAGCGAUUGAUAGAGUUGCUGCCAAAUCCAACGGUCUCUUGAUCCUAAGCAAAAAAUUCAAAACUUGCGCGUACGUAAGAAUGAUAGUGUUUCCUUCUCAAUGCUUAUAUAUAUGUAAGCUACACUUUAUAGUACUUAAGUUGUUCUGUAACAAAAAAAAUUUCAGUCCAUUGAGCCGUAGCUUCGAUAUCAAAGACUUUUUGGAUUCAAUAUACGCAGAAUCAGUUCAAUUCAACGGGAAUCCUUAUGAUAGGGUGGCUACACUAUGCAACGCAAUGGACAACCCAAAAAACCGUAAAAAUUAUAUACUUGACAGGAUUUUUGCAGGUGUUGUUGCCUACUUUGGCAACCAGUCUUGCUAUGAUACUGAUUUGGUUAUACAGCCCCCAAACAAUGCAAUUGCAUGGAGUUGGCAGGCAUGUAAUCUUUGGGUUAUAAAGCAUACACAUAAAUUAAUGCUAUUAUUCUAAUCAGUAUAUGGAAGAGUUAACUUAUAUUAACGAUAUAUCAAUCAAUAGGGCUGCAGCGAAAUAGUGAUGCCAAUAGGACAUGACAAACAGGACACGAUGUUCCAAACGCUUCCGUUUAAUAUGACCAGUUUUAUUGACGACUGUAAAUCCAAAUAUGGUGUUUCCCCGCGGCCGCAUUGGAUCACGACUUAUUUCGGCGUUCAAGUAGUUAACUAAUUUUAAAGUCAUGUUAUAAUUUAUAAAAAGGAUGUCAAGUUAAUUCUCCGAAGAUUUGGGAGCAACAUCAUUUUCUCUAAUGGAUUAGCAGAUCCUUACAGCGUCGGCGGUGUUUUGGAGAAUGUUUCAGGCAGUGUAG